rnacentral:rRNA from 1 species
UUGAAGACCGAAGUGGAGAAGGGUUCCAUGAGAACAGCAUUUGUUCAUGGGUUACUCGAUCCUAAGACAUAGGGAAAUUCCUUGUAAUACAUGCGAUCUUACGACCGCAUUGUCAAAAGGGAAUGAGGUUGAUAUUCCUCAAGCUGGAUGUGGUGGCAACGUGGCAACACAAAACAAGCUCGGAAACACCGGUAUGUGCAACUGGAAGAGUUCUCUUUUUCUUCUUAACAAUCUAUCUCCCUGAAUGGAUUAUCCAAAGCAAGGGAUAUAUGGUUGGCAGAGCAGUUCAUCAUAGAAUUGUCAGUGAUGCCCAUAACGGUCCUUGAAAAUCUGAGUAAGGUAUCCAAACACACCAGAUCGUACCCAUAACCGCAUCAGGUCUCCAAGGUUAGCAGCCUCUGGUCGAUAGAAUAAUGCAGAUAAGGGAAUUCGGCAAAUUAGAUCCGUAACUUCGGAAAAGGAAUUGGCUCUGAGGAUUGGGUUAUAGUGGCUGCCAUUGAGA